rnacentral:snRNA from 1 species
GGAUGUGAGGGCGAUCGGGCUGCGACACCUGCCGCCCUGCUGAUCGCCAGGGCUGACUCGGCUGACCCGCUGCCUAGGCGGGUGUCCCCUUCCUCCCUCAACGACCCGUGCAUGUCCCCGACAGAGGAGGACCGCUCCUCGGUCAGGGGUAUAGAGCAGCUGCGCUCCGCAGCUAGAACUCCACACAAGCUCUCAAGAGGACACAGGCUGAACUAUGUGUGAAGGCAGUAAGCGAACCAAAAAAAAAAAAAAAAAAAAAAAAAAUUAAAGUAGGAUUUUGCAUACCUUU